rnacentral:lncRNA from 1 species
AAACCCAGGGAGACACCUCUCAGUAAAAAGUAUCUGUCAGAGAUAAAGGUUUGAUACCUGGAGUGAUGGUGGAAAGUGUGAUGGAGCUCCAUAAAAGGACAAAAUCACUGACUGGUUGCAGCCUGAGAAGAAAAGAACAGUAAGCAAAACAGGCCUUUUGCUGUUGUUGGAGUGGGAGAGAAACUAUCAUACUAAGGCCAGACACCUCUUGUUCCCCCUCCUCAAAGGAAGAAGAGGAGAAAAUAUGACGAAACCCAAUACAGCUACAUAUUGACUCUAAUUUUCAAUGGACUCUGACAUCGCUAAUAGACAAUUUUCCUUCAGAAAUAUAACAACAGUAACCAAAACAGCAAACUAAAAUUCAUCAAACUCUUUGGAAGAUUAACAGAUA